UCCCUGGUUGCCUAAUGGGUAAGGACUCAGCAUUGUCACUGCUGUGGCUCAGGUUCAAUCCCUGGCCUAGGAA
rnacentral:tRNA from 1 species